AGCAAAAUGAGGAAGACAGUUUAAAAUCUAAAUCUCCCGUGUGGGAAUCCCAAUCUGGGUCUUCAAAGUUCUCUGAUUGCU